rnacentral:lncRNA from 1 species
AUGGACCUAACAGAAGCAGAAGAUAUUAAGAAGAGAUGGCAAGGAUACACAGAAGAACUGUACAAAAAAGAUCUUCACAACCCGGAUAAUCAUGACUGUGUGAAAAUUCAUCUGGAGCCAGACAUCCUGGAAUGUGAAGUCAAGUGGGCCUUAGAAAGCAUCACUACAAACAAAGCUAGUGGAGGUGAUGGAAUUCCAGUAGAGCUAUUUCAAAUCCUGAAAGAUGAUGCUGUGAAAGUGCUGCACUCAAUAUGCCAGCAAAUUUGGAAAACUCAGCAGUGGCCACAGAACUGGAAAAAGUCAGUUUUCAUUCCAAUUCCAAAGAAAGGAAAUGCAAAAGAAUGCUCAAACUACCACACAAUUGCACUCAUCUCACAUGCUGGUAAAGUAAUGCUCAAAAUUCUCCAAGCCAGGCUUCAGCAAUACGUGAACUGUGAACUUUCUGAUGUUCAAGCUGGUUUUCGAAAAGGCAGGGGAACCAGAGAUCAAAUUGCCAACAUCCGCUGGAUCAUGGAAAAAGCAAGAGAGUUCCAGAAAAGGAUCUAUUUCUGCUUUAUUGACUAUGUCAAAGCCUUUGACUGUGUGGAUCACAGUCAACUGUGGAAAAUCCUGAAAGAGAUGGGAAUACCAGACCACCUGACCUGCCUCUUGAGAAAUCUGUAUGCAAGUCAGGAAGCAACUGUUAGAACUGGACAUGGAACAACAGACUGGUUCCAAAUAGGAAAAGGAGUACAUCAAGGCUGUAUAUUGUCACCCUGCUUAAUUAGCUUAUAUGCAGAGUACAUCAUGAGAAACGCUGGACUGGAAGAAACACAAGCUGGAAUCAAGAUUGUCGGGAGAAAUAUCAAUAACCUCAGAUAUGCAGAUGACACUAUCCUUAUGGCAGAAAGUGAAGAGGAACUAAAAAGCCUCUUGAUGAAAGUGAAAGAGGAGAGUGAAAAAGUUGGCUUAAACCUCAACAUUCAGAAAACGAAGAUCAUGGCAUCCGGUCCCAUCACUUCAUGGGAAAUAGAUGGGGAAACAGUGGAAACAGUGUCAGACUUUAUUUUGGGGGGCUCCAAAAUCACUGCAGAUGGUGACUGCAGCCAUGAAAUUAAAAGACACUUACUCCUUGGAAGAAAAGUUAUGACCAACUUGUAUAGCAUAUUCAAAAGCAGAGACAUUACUUUGCCAACUAAGGUCCGUCUAAUCAAGGCUAUGGUUUUUCCAGUGGUCAUGUAUGGAUGUGAGAGUUGGACUGUGAAGAAGGCUGAGAGCUGA